rnacentral:rRNA from 1 species
CCUACGGGAGGCAGCAGUGGGGAAUAUUGGACAAUGGGCGCAAGCCUGAUCCAGCCAUGCCGCGUGUGUGAAGAAGGCCUUCGGGUUGUAAAGCACUUUUGUCCGGAAAGAAAAGCAUUGGGUUAAUACCCCGAUGUCAUGACGGUACCGGAAGAAUAAGCACCGGCUAACUUCGUGCCAGCAGCCGCGGUAAUACGAAGGGUGCAAGCGUUACUCGGAAUUACUGGGCGUAAAGCGUGCGUAGGUGGUUUGUUAAGUCUGAUGUGAAAGCCCUGGGCUCAACCUGGGAAUGGCAUUGGAAACUGGCUUACUAGAGUGCGGUAGAGGGUAGUGGAAUUCCCGGUGUAGCAGUGAAAUGCGUAGAUAUCGGGAGGAACAUCUGUGGCGAAGGCGACUACCUGGACCAGCACUGACACUGAGGCACGAAAGCGUGGGGAGCAAAC